UGCCCCUCACUUGCCAAUACGUCUAGAUCAGCCAGGGCGUCGGCAUGUGUAGCGUAUUAUGUUGGGCUCUCUCGAGAUAAGGAUACGAUGUCCCUUUAUCGGUUGGUUUCCUGUGUGCGCGGCCCGUUCGUUUUUUUGUUACUUUCGCAUUGUUCGGUGCAUUCUGGGGGCUGUGUUGGCUUUUGGUGGCUUGUUUGGCCUUUUGGCUUUGCUUGUUGCUACUUGUCGGGCGGCCUUUGGGGAUGUCGACCGUGGAGGUGCAUGAGUGGUGUUUGGUUUGUUACGUGUGGAUGGCUGUUUGCUUGUGCAACAACGUUCACGCUGCAUACCUCUUCAGUUUUGCGGCAAGGCGGUUUGGCUUGUGCAUAUUGUGGGUUUCCUGUGUCGCAUACCUAGUUGAUGGAAAAGUGUGGGUUUUACGAUUUUCAUUUUCGUCUUGCGUCGUUCUUUCGGCGUGGGAUGAACAAUGAAGCGAUCUUUAUGAUCCAUCGUGCUGUUGCGUUUGCAACAAUGAUGUGGCCUAUGAAGCAUCGUUUGGUCUCUUGUAUACGGAAGCUCAUUUGGGCUUGGGUCUUUAUAAAAUCUUCGUUACGCCCUUGUUAAGCGUUCUCGCUUCUCCUAAACGAUUG
rnacentral:misc_RNA from 1 species